GAAGGUGCUCUUCCAUUUUCUUCCGUCGCUUUUCCCCUUCUCUUCCUCUCUAUUUCUGUGCUUUUCUCCCUGCAUCAAUCCUUCGUGUUUCCCUGCUUCUCUUCGCCUCCUCCUCCGCCCAAGAGCCACUGGUCAAUCUGGUUUCUCUGGCUUCUUCCGAUGGCGGCCAAGAUUUCGUCAUUGAGGAGAUGAAUGAUGGAGGUCAAUUGGAUCUUGAAUACGAUUUCUACAACGAGACUUGCCCAGAAACUGAGACCAUUGUGAGGUCGACGAUGACGCAGAUUACACCCACCAGAAGAAUGUCUCUGCUCAGGUACUGCGCCUCUUCUUCCAUGACUGCUUCAUUCAGGUCCCAUUCUUGGAUAUCCGAAUAUGCGCUCGAACUAACUCUCCGAGGCCGCUGAUCUUGGAUUCGCCACUACUAUAUUUCCUUACCUCGGAUUCAUUUCCGACGUUCUAAUUCUACGGAAUAAGCAGAAUGUCGCUGAUCGAUAAAAGAAUCCUCUUUCAUCAUAUUCUCUCAGUAAAAUAUUAAAGCAACGUUGCUAAUGGUGUACCUGUGACGAUGCAACGUUGAUAUGCUUCUGUGUCAAUUUGGCUUCAGUUAUUUGUUUCUGCUGUUGAUCGGCUGUCAUCAUACUAUGCAAUGAACUCUUCUCCUUCAAAUAUAUCAUCUUCUGAUUGUGUAAUCUUCAUGAAACUUGGUUGCAAGGCAAGUUGAAAACGCACAAAAGUUUGAUCGCGUCCUAUAGAAUUGCCAGAGAAGGUCAUCUCCAUUUCAUGCAAAUCAGACUUUUUUCUGCACACAAAAACACUAGGAUGCUUUCUUAAUGACCAACAUAGCAGAGGACAACUUUUAGUGUUGCAGGAAACAACAUUUCUCAUUAAUGUUUUUAGAUAGGAAGCAAUUUGUGUUUUUUCGUAUCCAAAGAACUUUGUAAUAUUUUUAAUAGACGAAAUAGGUUUCUCUUUUGAAAUUUAAAUUUGUUUCAUUCAUGAUGAGGUUGUGUAUAAUUUGCAUUGGCAAUGUAACUCAGUUUUUGACUCAAACAUUGUUUAUGAAGAUUGAAAUUGCAUAAUCUUUCAUAUAGUUUUGAAUCCCGCAACAACGCUCAGGAUUUAGCUAAUAGGCAAUCAGCUGUGAGGUAGGAGAGAAAAGUGAGGUAUACGAAUGAGCUGGAGAGAAUGCUGCUGAAGCUUCAGACUGAGGCAACCACCCUCUCAGCACAGGUCACUCUUUUACAGGUAUAUACCCAUUAUUUAUUGUUUUUGCUUCUUUGUUAAUUGGAAUCAAAUUGUGGUUCCUCUUGGGUCUUCGUUGGAGCAGUGCAAAUUGGUUUUCGGACCCCAUAUCACAGUUUUCAGCAACUCGGCUGGUAAUUUUGGGGAUAAACCCAUUUGAAAAAUUUAGUUGUUUUUGUUUUUGGUUAUGUUUAUUUGCCAAAGUAAUGACUUUGGUUUCAUGGUUGUGGAUUCGUGAGUGUGACCAUGGAGGUUCAAAAGCUAGGGAGCCUAAAGGGCAAUUGGAAUUAGUCAUAAGAAAUAGAGUGAAGAAACCCUAGAACAGCUGAAGAGAUCCAUAAGCAUUUUGGUUGUAGGCUACAGAGCACAGGAGAGUUCAAAAUGAGCUUUCAAGUGUUAUUCAGAAGAUAACUUCACUGAAUGAUAUGUGCAAACGAUCACAAGAAUACAUUGCAAGCUUGCAACAGUACAGUAGGCAAGGUUGCAACAGUGCAAUAGCAAACUGCACAAUGACUUCUUAAAGGUUGAGGAAGAAUUUAAGUGCAUGGAGAAGGAAAAAGUGAAUAUGGUGGUGAACCUGAGCAUGUUACUUUCAGUCUCCAGAGUGAGCUUCUCAUUUGAAAUUGUUUCUAAUGCAUAAGGAAUUUCUUUUAUUAUGUAUCAAUAAAUCUGACUUCCAUGUUCUCUUGAGUAGACAUGUAUUGAAAAUUCUAUACAGGGUGACACACUUCAACCCAUUUCACAUGU